UCUGCUAACCACCUAGCCUGCAGGCUACGUAAUUAGCUAGCUUGGGUAAGCUAAGAGAGAGAGCUUGAACAAAACACCAAGCCUCGUGAUAUCAAAACGAAGCAAGUGUUGUCUUCCGUUUACCGAGAGGCCGGUACAUAAUAAUGUAGAGAAAUAAUUUAAACUUAAGACAAAUAGUGUUUGUCAAACUGAGCUAACUAACUUGCUAGUAGCAUUCAGGCUAGCUAACUUGUUAGAGUGGCGUGACGUCAAAGUUUUGGGUACGUGUCUCUUCCAAACAGGAGGGGAACUGACAAAAGAAGAGGAGCAGAGCAAUAGAGGAGUGAAUCACUCACACACCUGUUAUGUAGUGAUAGACAGCUGCCAUAUGUCCGAACCUGCAUGCGUGGGAACAGAGAAGGGGCAGCGAACAGAAAGAGGACAAGAUGGAAAGAGGACUAUAAAUAUACAUCUCAGGUCUAACGUGCUGACACUGGAGAAAAGAAACAGCUGGGAUUGAACAUCAGGAAUCUGCUCAGUAGUGCAACAAAGGCUGCACUUCUUCACAGCUUUAGCCUCCUUUUCAUAUUACGGUGAAGAUGAAGAUGAGAGGAAGAGUCGAGGGGAGCUCAUUGGAAGUAUUGAGACACAUCCAGAGGCCGGUCCAUCCACUCUCCACUCCUUCCCCUGAUACAUGUGAUGAAUCACCGCUGACUGCACCCACAUCUCUCUCUGUCAGACGGGGGCCGACCCCAGUCUAAUAUACACACCCCUAGGACCCACUCAUAUUUCUCCAUCGUACUCCAUCCGCAGCUCCCUUUUUCUCCAUUCUUCACUCUCUCACCUUCGUUCUUUCCUCAAGUUUUCCCUGUUUCUCUCUGCAGCCGCCCCCUCCUCCUCCUCCUCCUCCUCCUUCUUCCCCUGUCCUCCUUUUUCAAAAUCUUCCUUAUUUCCUUCACGCUCUUAAAUCACCCUUUUUAAAUUUCCCACAUGAAACAUAAAAUGUCCCAAUCGCACCACUCAUCUUUCCUACACAUCUGUCUUUCCAAACAGAAAAAAACAAAAAGUUACUGCCACAGCUCCCGUGAUAACAGCCUGUAAUUGUUUCCUGUUGAGUUUCUCACCCUGAUUGGCUGUUUGUGCCACCUCUGACCCAGUGAAGGAGUUCACGGACAUCAUGCCAGCAUGGACAGAGCCGCUGCCAAGACCAGAGAGCUGGUUGUGCCCUCGUGGCACUGUCGUGUAGAGGGCCUCCGCGAUAUCUGCUGCUCGUUUCAGAAUCAUCUCCUGACAAAGGAGAAGAAGAAAAAACAGCUGUGGUCAGAAAUAGAGAGAAGAGAAGAGGAGAAAAUGCACCCUUGAUGCAGGCUUUAUGGUCUCACAAGAAUGCUAGAUCUCCACUGGAGAUAUUGUGCAUUUAAACCUAGCAGGCUGAGUGGUUUUUAUCAGUGGUCACAGGGAGUGGUGGGAUGGGUUCCAGUAAAUGGAGGAAAGCCUCAUUAACAGACUCAUCAAAUC